rnacentral:rRNA from 1 species
GAUGAACGCUAGCGGCAGGCCUAAUACAUGCAAGUCGAACGGCCCCGACACUUCGGUGUCGGGGUAGUGGCGCACGGGUGCGUAACGCGUACACAACAUACCCUUUACAGGGGGAUAGCGGCGGGAAACUGCCAGUAAUACCCCAUGUCCUUGCGAGGUGGCAUCAUUUUGCAAAGAAAGUUCAAGCGGUAAAGGAUUGGUGUGCGUCCGAUUAGCUAGUUGGUGAGGUAAUGGCUCACCAAGGCAAAGACGGGUAGCUGGUCUGAGAGGAUGAUCAGCCACACUGGAACUGAGACACGGUCCAGACUCCUACGGGAGGCAGCAGUGGGGAAUAUUGCGCAAUGGGCGAAAGCCUGACGCAGCCACGCCGCGUGAGCGAUGAAGGUCUUCGGAUCGUAAAGCUCUGUGGGGGGAGAAGAAGAAAGCCGGUGAAGAGCCGGCCCUGACGGUAUCCCCUUAGCAAGCACCGGCUAACUCCGUGCCAGCAGCCGCGGUAA